UGGUGGUCAAUUUGUAGUGGGAUGAUACUUCUAGAUUUUAUUUGGGAAUGUUAGGAGAGGAAUAGAGAUUUUUCUUAAAAAGAAAAAAAGAAAGCAAGUAUCUCCCUCUGUUAGUGGGUUUGUUAUAAGUCACCAAAUUCAGAUGUUGACAUCUAGUGAAGGUCAAGGACUAAAGAUUGCUAUUGAGAGUGAAGCACAUCCUUUUGAUGUGGCCUGUGGUCAUGUUUUAAUAGCCAGAGGAGGGGCAGCCUACGAACCUAAGCUCCACCAACUUGGCUCGUUGAUGGUUACUUACCAGGUCUCACAUUUGUGGUUCACUACAAGUGGCCUACAAACUAUACUAUCAGAGAUUCAUAAUUACUUGGUGGUGGUGCC
rnacentral:lncRNA from 1 species